GGCUGGCCCCAGUGCAGAGGUGUUUAGAACUAAUUGAUCACAACCAGUUAUAGAUUCCUUUGUUCUUUGCUCUCACUGCUUCACUUGACUAGCCUAAA
rnacentral:Y_RNA from 1 species